CGAACGCUGGCGGCAGGCCUAAUACAUGCAAGUCGAGCGCACCUUCGGGUGAGCGGCGGACGGGUGAGUAACGCGUGGGAACGUGCCCUUUGGUUCGGAACAACACAGGGAAACUUGUGCUAAUACCGAAUGUGCCCUUCGGGGGAAAGAUUUAUCGCCAUUGGAGCGGCCCGCGUUGGAUUAGCUAGUUGGUGGGGUAAAGGCCCACCAAGGCGACGAUCCAUAGCUGGUCUGAGAGGAUGAUCAGCCACACUGGGACUGAGACACGGCCCAGACUCCUACGGGAGGCAGCAGUAGGGAAUCUUGCGCAAUGGGCGAAAGCCUGACGCAGCCAUGCCGCGUGAAUGAUGAAGGUCUUAGGAUUGUAAAAUUCUUUCACCGGGGAAGAUAAUGACGGUACCCGGAGAAGAAGCCCCGGCUAACUUCGUGCCAGCAGCCGCGGUAAUACGAAGGGGGCUAGCGUUGCUCGGAAUUACUGGGCGUAAAGGGCGCGUAGGCGGACAGUUUAGUCAGAGGUGAAAGCCCAGGGCUCAACCUUGGAACUGCCUUUGAUACUGGCUGUCUUGAGUUCGGGAGAGGUGAGUGGAAUGCCGUGUGUAGAGGUGAAAUUCGUAGAUAUUCGGCGGAACACCAGUGGCGAAGGCGACUCACUGGCCCGAUACUGACGCUGAGGCGCGAAAGCGUGGGGAGCAAACAGG
rnacentral:rRNA from 1 species